rnacentral:tRNA from 1 species
GAGGGUAUGGUUCAAUGGUAGAGCACUUUCCUAGCAUGUAAAAGGGCCUGGAUUCAAACCCCAGCACUAUCC